GAUGAACGCUGGCGGCGUGCCUAAUACAUGCAAGUCGAGCGAACAGACGAGGAGCUUGCUCCUCUGACGUUAGCGGCGGACGGGUGAGUAACACGUGGAUAACCUACCUAUAAGACUGGGAUAACUUCGGGAAACCGGAGCUAAUACCGGAUAAUAUAUUGAACCGCAUGGUUCAAUAGUGAAAGACGGUUUUGCUGUCACUUAUAGAUGGAUCCGCGCCGCAUUAGCUAGUUGGUAAGGUAACGGCUUACCAAGGCAACGAUGCGUAGCCGACCUGAGAGGGUUGAUCGCCCCCCCUGAACUGGGGACCGGGUCCAACCCCCUCCGGGAGGCACCGUCGGGAAUCCUUCGGCAAUGGGCGAAAGCUGACCGGGCCAACGCGGGGUAAGUGUUAAGGUCCUCCGGCUCGUAAAACACUGUUUUAGGGAAGAACAAAUGUGUAAGUAACUAUGCACGUCUUGACGGUACCUAAUCAGAAAGCCACGGCUAACUACGUG
rnacentral:rRNA from 1 species